rnacentral:lncRNA from 1 species
AAACAAACCACUGCCAUUGUCACCAAUCAACGCCUUUGCGGCAACGCAUCUUCCCUAAGAAUCAGAGUUUCGCCACCAUUUCCUCCCAAUUCCAUUGCCAUGGCCACCAUUAAUGGUUAUUGUCGCCGGCCAAAGCUCCCACAAAUUAUGAUUAAUGGUAGCGAUGGGCAGUUCAAAAACAUAUGGAAACUUCAAAUCCGACAAAAAUUUUGAAACUCAAAUCAAACCGCAAAAUAGCAAUUACAGUCAUUCUAGAAAAAAGAUGAUAAACAUUAAUUUUUAACCAUUCAAGAGUGUAAUGGAUAAAUUUCAGACUGUACUGUGGGUGAAGUGGAGGAGGUCAAACAAUUGGAGCUCAGUGGAGGGUUUAUAAUCGGAUAGAAGGUAAGAAGCAGGUGAGUAGUCGUACAAUGACAUCCAAAUGGAAACACCAAUUCUAGAAGCUAAAAUGGUGGUGGUGUAGCCAUUCGAAUCCCCAGGUACGAAGCCUGGAAAGGUCGAGCUGCCACAUGAAGUCCUAACUUUGAACCCAAAAAAUUGGAGCCUCCACAUGAGGUGAAAUCUGCGACACUUCUCCAUCUACUAAGUUACCUCGCUACGGCUGAUGUGGUGGAGAUCGAGACGGUGUUGACGGAUUGAUAUUGGGAGUUGGGGCUGGG